UUGACCUCGGAUCAGGUAGGAAUACCCGCUGAACUUAAGCAUAUCAAUAAGCGGAGGAAAAGAAACCAACAGGGAUUGCCCUAGUAACGGCGAGUGAAGCGGCAACAGCUCAAAUUUGAAAUCUGGCUCUCGGGCCCGAGUUGUAAUUUGUAGAGGAUGACUUUGAUGCGGUGCCUUCCGAGUUCCCUGGAACGGGACGCCAUAGAGGGUGAGAGCCCCGUCUGGUUGGA
rnacentral:rRNA from 1 species